GCACCAACCGUUUCGCUCAUUCUAUAUUUCAAAACCCUGACUCUUGUCCUUUAAUCCAGGUAUAGUAUUUAUUUUACUUUAUUUUCUGUUUGAUGAAACUCAGGCAGCCAACAAUUUACAUUUGUCAACUCACUCUGCGCUCAUACGUUACGCCCACUCAGAUUUACAUCUGUCUCAAACCCUUAGGUUCUACUACGAUUGCAUCAACAACUUGCCCCAUCUAAAUUCGGAGAAAACCUUGCUAUUUGUACCUUAUCCAGGUAUAGUUUUUUCUUUAAUCUUCAGUACGUUACUUCAGUUUCCCAAGAAAAGGCCGCAGACAGCCUUCACGGUCCAUUUUGCCACUCAUUUACCCGUCCAUGCCCCCCAUUAACUCAUAUUGC